rnacentral:tRNA from 1 species
CGGGGCAUAGCUCAGCCUGGCUAGAGCGCUACACUGGGGGUGUAGAGGUCGCUGGUUCGAAUCCAGUUGCCCCGACCA